rnacentral:rRNA from 1 species
UACGGGAAGGCAGCAGUGGGGAAUAUUGCACAAUGGGCGAAAGCCUGAUGCAGCUAUGCCGCGUGUAUGAAGAAGGCCUUAGGGUUGUAAAGUACUUUCAUCGGGGAGGAAAAACAAAACUAAUAAUUUUAUUUCUUGACGUUACCCGAAAAAGAAGCACCGGCUAACUCCGUGCCAGCAGCCGCGGUAAUACGGAGGGUGCUAGCGUUAAUCAGAAUUACUGGGCGUAAAGAGCACGUAGGUGGUUUUUUUAAGUCAGAUGUGAAAUCCCUGGGCUUAACCUAGGAACUGCAUUUUGAAACUGAAAUACUAGAGUAUCGUAGAGGGAGGUAGAAUUCUAGGUGUAGCGGUGAAAUGCGUAGAUAUCUGGAGGAAUACCUGUGGCGAAAGCGGCCUCCUAAACGAAUACUGACACUGAGGUGCGAAAGCGUGGGGAGCAAACGAGGGAUUAGAUACC